rnacentral:rRNA from 1 species
AGAGAGCGACGGGCGAUAUGUACACACUCCAGAGCUCAUUUCAUAUAAAUAUUUUAUCUUUAUUUUACUACUAAAUCCACCUUCAUAAUAAUUAUACAACUAUUAAUCCGUAAUAAUUCCAGAUUAUUGUAACCCACUACUCCCAAAUUCAUUGACUGCACCUUGACCUGAUGUCAUAGUAAUAAACUAAUUAGAUAAUAUUUUUCAAAAAUAAUCUGACAACGGCGGUAUACAAACUGAAAAACAAAAAUAUGUAUAUUUAAUCGUGGAAUAUCGAUACAAGAGCAGGUUCCUCUAGUAAGAAUGAAGUACCGCCAAAUUCUUUAGGUUUAGACAAUCAUUUACUACCCAGGCAUCUAACAAUAAAGAAUAAUAGGGUAUCUAAUCCUAGUUUAAAUCUUUAUUUCAAAAGAAUGUAAAGUUUUUUUUAUAUUAUUAUUAUGUAUAUUUUAAAAUUUCACCUUUAAAUUUACACUCAAAAAAUUAUUUUAAAACAUAUUUUUACUCAUUUCCACCAAACAAUUAUAUUUGAUCCUAUCGUAUAACC